rnacentral:misc_RNA from 1 species
GAUGAAGAACGUAGCGAAAUGCGAUAAGUAAUGCGAAUUGCAGAAUUCCAGUGAGUCAUCGAAUCUUUGAACGCACAUUGCGCCCUUUGGUAUUCCGAAGGGCAUGCCUGUUCGAGCGUCAUUAUCACCCCUCAAGCCCUCGGCUUGGUGUUGGACGGUUUGGUGGAGGCCCCCUCGGGGGCUCCUGCCCCUCCCAAAGACAAUGACGGCGGCCUCGUUGGACCCCCGGUACACUGAGUUCUUCACGGGACACGUAUCGGACACAUGGGUUUACGGGACACGAUCUGCCUCCCCUCAGGGAGAAUCUUUCUAAGGUUGACCUCGGAUCAGGUAGGGAUACCCGCUGAACUUAAGCAUAUCAAUAAGCGGAGGA